UACCUGUUGAUUUUGGCCGUUGACCGACUCUUAAUCAGUAGGUUGAAGGUUCAAUUCCUUCACGGCCCACCA
rnacentral:tRNA from 1 species